CCAAACCUGGGGUGCUGGUUAUGUCCUGAUUUUAGACCCACAAUUUGUAAAAGGGUUUUCGUGUCUUGAUAAGCCGGGUAUGCAGGCCCAUUGCGAGUGGGAAGCGCAAAGGCUCAAGUAGAUUACCCACCUGCCGGGAGGCGGGUUACAAAACGGGGCAGACGACAUUCCUGGGGAUCGU
rnacentral:other from 1 species